UAGGAUAUAGCUUAAAAGUAAAGCGCCUCCAUUACACUGAGAAGAUAAUCGUGCAAAUCGAAUUAUCCUAA
rnacentral:tRNA from 1 species